rnacentral:rRNA from 1 species
CGAAGGUGCAAGCGUUACUCGGAAUUACUGGGCGUAAAGCGUGCGUAGGUGGUGAGUUAAGUCUGUCGUGAAAGCCCCGGGCUCAACCUGGGAAUGGCGAUGGAUACUGGCUCGCUAGAGUGCGGUAGAGGAGAGUGGAAUUCCCGGUGUAGCAGUGAAAUGCGUAGAGAUCGGGAGGAACAUCAGUUGCGAAGGCGGCUCUCUGGACCAGCAACUGACACUGAGGCACGAAAGCGUGGGAGCAAACAGGAUU